UGAGAGAGGUGAUGGUAGAGGGAGAGAGCGAGAGGGGAAGGAGAGAGGUGAUGGUAGAGGGAGAGAGCGAGAGGGGAAGGAGAGAGGUGAUGGUAGAGGGAGAGAGCGAGAGGGGAAGGAGAGAGGUGAUGGUAGAGGGAGAGAGCGAGAGGGGAAGGAGAGAGGUGAUGGUAGAGGGAGAGAGCGAGAGGGGAAGGAGAGAGGUGAUGGUAGAGGGAGAGAGCGAGAGGGGAAGGAGAGAGGUGAUGGUAGAGAGAGAGCGAGAGGGGAAGGAGAGAGGUGAUGGUAGAGAGAGAGCGAGAGGGGAAGGAGAGAGGUGAUGGUAGAGAGAGAGAGCGAGUGGGGAAGGAGAGAGGUGAUGGUAGAGAGAGAGAGCGAGUGGGGAAGGAGAGAGGUGAUGGUAGAGGGAGAGAGCGAGAGGGGAAGGAGAGAGGUGAUGGUAGAGGGAGAGAGCGAGAGGUGAUGGUAGAGGGAGAGAGCGAGAGGUGAAGGAGAGAGGUGAUGGUAGAGGGAGAGAGCGAGAGGUGAAGGAGAGAGGUGUUGGUAGAGGGAGAGAGAGAGGGGAAGGAGAGAGGUGUUGGUAGAGGGAGAGAGAGAGAGGUGAAGGAGAGAGGUGUUGGUAGAGGGAGAGAGAGAGGGGAAGGAGAGAGGUGUUGGUAGAGGGAGAGAGAGAGAGAGGAAGGAGAGAGGUGUUGGUAGAGGGAGAGAGAGAGGGGAAGGAGAGAGGUGUUGGUAGAGGGAGAGAGAGAGAGAGGAAGGAGAGAGGUGAUGGGAGAGGGAGAGAGAGAGCGAGAAAAUAGGAGUAUAUAGGAGAGAGAGAGAGGGGAAGGAGAGAGGUGAUGGGAGAGGGAGAGAGCGAGAGGUGAAGGAGAGAGGUGUUGGUAGAGAGAGAGAGGGGAAGGAGAGAGGUGAUGGGAGAGGGAGAGAGAGAGCGAGAAAAUAGGAGUAUAUAGGAGAGAGAGAGAGGGGAAGGAGAGAGGUGAUGGGAGAGGGAGAGAGCGAGAGGUGAAGGAGAGAGGUGUUGGUAGAGAGAGAGAGGGGAAGGAGAGAGGUGAUGGGAGAGGGAGAGAGAGAGCGAGAAAAUAGGAGUAUAUAGGAGAGAGAGAGAGGGGAAGGAGAGAGGUGAUGGGAGAGGGAGAGAGCGAGAGGUGAAGGAGAGAGGUGAUGGGAGAGGGAGAGAGAGAGCGAGAAAAUAGGAGUAUAUAGGAGAGAGAGAGAGGGGAAGUGAUGGAAUAGAAGGGUAAGGAGGAGGAAAAACAAAGAGGGAGAAUAGAUGAGAGGAUGAAGGAGAGAAAUCAAUAGAGACAGAGAGAAAAACACUUGAAUAAGUUAUUUAACCCAUUGCCCUUUACGGUUGUGAGGUCUGGGGCCCGGCUCGCCAACCAAGAAUUCACACAAUGGGACAAACACCAAAAUUGAGAACGCAGAGCAGAAUUAGGUCGAUAUCCGCUAAUUAUCAAAAUCCAGAAAAAAACUUUUAAAUUUGACAACCAUCAAAAAAAGGAAGCGAUUCCCAAACCUUCCAUAACCAAGCCAUCACCUACAGAGAGAUGAUCCUGGAGGCCCCUAAGGAAGCUGGUCCCGGGGCUCUGUUCACAAACAGACCACACAGAGCCCCAGGACAGCAACACAAUUAGACCCAACCAAAUUAUGAGAAAAUUAAUUACUUGACACCUUCGAAACAAUUAACAAAAAAAGAGAGCAAACUAAAACGCUAGUGGGCCCUAAACAGAGAGUACUCCGUGGUAGAAUACCUGACCACUGUCGCUGACCCAAACUUAAGGAAAGCUUUGACUACGUACAGACUCAGUGAGCAUAGCUUUGCUAUUGAGAAAGGCCGCCGUAGGCAGACCUGGCUCUCAAGAGAAGACAGGCUAUGCGCCCACUGCCCAGAAAAUUAGAUGGAAACUGAGCUGCACUUCCUAACCUCCUGCCAAAUGUAUGACCAUAUUAGAGAGACAUAUUUCCCUCAGAUUAAACAGAUUUAAAAAACAAAUCCUAUUUUGAUAAAUUCCCAUAUCUACUGGGUGAAAUACCACAGUGUGCCAUCACAGCAGCAAGAUGUGUCCCAUAUCUACUGGGUGAAGUACCACAGUGUGCCAUCACAGCAGCAAGAUGUGUCCCAUAUCUACUGGGUGAAGUACCACAGUGUGCCAUCACAGCAGCAAGAUGUGUCCCAUAUCUACUGGGUGAAAUACCACAGUGGGCCAUCACAGCAGCAAGAUGUGUCCCAUAUCUACUGGGUGAAAUACCACAGUGUGCCAUCACAGCAGCAAGAUGUGUCGCAUCUCUACAAGGUUAAAUGCCACAGUGUGCCAUCACAGCAGCAAGAUGUGUCGCAUCUCUACAAGGUUAAAUACCACAGUGGGCCAUCACAGCAGCAGGAUUUGUGACCUGUUGCCACAAGGGCAACCAGUGAAGAACAAACACCAUUGUAAAUACAACCCAUGUUUAUUUAUAUUCCCUUUAGUACUUUAACUAUUUGCACAUCAUUACAACACUGUUUAUAGAGACACAUGACAUUUGAAAUAUGAGAGAGAAACUCACAUCAAAGCUGUGCUCACAUAACCAUUAUAUAAACAGGUGACCACUCUCUCUGUGGCUGAUCCCAGUCUCUCCAGCUGUUUGGUAUGUAACAGUAGCCUGGUCUGAGAUCUGUAACAGUAGCCUGGUCUGAGAUCUGUAACAGUAGCCUGGUCUGAGAUCUGUUUGGUAUGUAACAGUAGCCUGUUCUGAGAUCUGUUUGGUAUGUAACAGUAGCCUGGUCUGAGAUCUGUUUGGUAUGUAACAGUAGCCUGUUCUGAGAUCUGUAACAGUAGCCUGUUCUGAGAUCUGUUUGGUAUGUAACAGUAGCCUGGUCUGAGAUCUGUUUGGUAUGUAACAGUAGCCUGGUCUGAGAUCUGUUUGGUAUGUAACAGUAGCCUGGUCUGAGAUCUGUUUGGUAUGUAACAGUAGCCUGGUCUGAGAUCUGUUUGGUAUGUAACAGUAGCCUG